rnacentral:rRNA from 1 species
AACGAACGCUGGCGGCAUGCCUAACACAUGCAAGUCGAACGAGACCUUCGGGUCUAGUGGCGCACGGGUGCGUAACGCGUGGGAACCUGCCCUUAGGUUCGGAAUAACUCCCCGAAAGGGGUGCUAAUACCGGAUAAUGUCUUCGGACCAAAGAUUUAUCGCCUUUGGAUGGGCCCGCGUUGGAUUAGCUAGUUGGUAGGGUAAAAGCCUACCAAGGCGACGAUCCAUAGCUGGUCUGAGAGGAUGAUCAGCCACACUGGGACUGAGACACGGCACAGACUCCCAGGGGGGGAAGAAGUGGGGAAUAUUGGAAAAGGGGCGAAAGCCUGAACCAGCAAUGCCGGGGGAGUGAUGAAGGCCUUAGGGUUGUAAAGCUCUUUUACCCGGGAUGAUAAGGAAGGUACCGGGAGAAUAAGCCCCGGCUAACUCCGU